GACGAACGCUGGCGGCGUGCUUAACACAUGCAAGUCGAACGGAAAGGCCCUGCUUUUGUGGGGUGCUCGAGUGGCGAACGGGUGAGUAACACGUGAGUAACCUGCCCUUGACUUUGUGAUAACUUCAGGAAACUGGGGCUAAUACCGGAUAGGAGCUCCUGCUGCAUGGUGGGGGUUGGAAAGUUUCGGCGGUUGGGGAUGGACUCGCGGCUUAUCAGCUUGUUGGUGGGGUAGUGGCUUACCAAGGCUUUGACGGGUAGCCGGCCUGAGAGGGUGACCGGCCACAUUGGGACUGAGAUACGGCCCAGACUCAUACGGGAGGCAGCAGUGGGGAAUAUUGCACAAUGGGCGGAAGCCGGAUGCAGCAACGCCGGGUGCGGGAUGACGGCCUUCGGGUUGUAAACCGCUUGCGCCUGUGACGAAGCGUGAGUGACGGUAAUGGGUAAAGAAGCACCGGCUAACUACGUG
rnacentral:rRNA from 1 species